AUUGAACGCUGGCGGCAGGCCUAACACAUGCAAGUCGAGCGAGCGGCGGACGGGUGAGUAAUGUAUGGGGAUCUGCCUGAUGGAGGGGGAUAACUACUGGAAACGGUAGCUAAUACCGCAUACCAUCAGAUGAACCCAUAUGGGAUUAGCUGGGAGGUAAGGUAACGGCUUACCAGGGCGAGGAUCCCUAGCUGGUCUGAGAGGAGUAUCAGCCACACUGGGACUUGGACACGGCCCAGACGCCGACGGGAGGCAGCAGUGGGGAAAAUUACACAAUGGACGCAAGCCUGAUGCAGCCAUGCCGCGUGUAUGAAGAAGGCCUUCGGGUUGUAAAGUACUUUCAGUCGGGAGGCGUUACCGACAGAAGAAGCACCGGAUAACUCCGUGCCAGCAGCCGCGGUAAUUC
rnacentral:rRNA from 1 species